GAUGCUCAAGAUAGCAUGCACGUCUAGUACAAACUAAAUGAUGGUGAACUGCAAAUGGCUCAUUACAACGGUUAUGAUGUACCCGGGAGUUCCGAUGGAUAUUUCCAGUAACACUAGAACUAAUACAUAGUCCCUGCGUUUAUUAGUUUCGCACAGUCCGUCGCUGAGUCAUGGGUAAACAGUUGAUCGACUCGACGUCCCGGAACAGUUUCCGCCCCAUCAGCUUCGAUGGUUGGGUAUUGGCCUACCAUUGCAACAACGGGUAACGAGGAAUUAGGGUUUGAUUUCGGAGAGGGAGCCUGAGAAACGGCUACCACAUCUACGGAUGGCAGCAGGCGCGCAAACUACCCAAUGCAGACACUGUGAGGUAGUGACGAGAAAUAAUAAAGCGGGACUUCUGUUUCGCUAUUAUAAUGAGGAAUAACCAAAGGUCAUUCCGAUUAGCAACUGAUGGGAAAGUCUGGUGCCAGCAGCCGCGGUAAUACCAGCGUCAGUAGCAU
rnacentral:rRNA from 1 species